AUAUGAAAAGUCAGCUGCUGGACGAGCAGCACGAGCACAUAUUAAAGCUAUGAAGGAGGCCAAGACAUCAUCAAACCAAGGAGAGCCGGUUCUGAAGUGGCAGAUGGGGUAAAUCAUCGUAUGUGUCCUUGCAACUUUCAGCGUGUUGUUGAUGGUGUGUGGAAGCUUGUUUUCUUUUGAUCAUGCGAUGCAGUUUGGUCACCUAACUCAGUUGUGAUUUUUGUCAGUGAAAUGUACAUCCUUUUAGUCACUGCUAUACACGCCUAUUCAGAGUUAUGUAUUGCCCAAUCUGUCUUCUAGAAGUGUGUCGCGUGUUACUGUACAAUCUAUAGACAGUGGUGGUUGUCUGGCAAGGUAGGUAUUUUGCUUACACUUCUUUUGUACAAAGCUACGGGAGCAUGAUACCUGCAACUAUCCAGUGGGUUUUCUUUUUACCAAAGACCAGUCGUGUAGAUGUUCUUGUUGCAUUGAAAGUGCUCACUCUAUGAGAAGAUGGAAGAAAGGGAAGGAUUAUUCAUGUGCA